rnacentral:rRNA from 1 species
UACAGAGGGUGCAAGCGUUAAUCGGAAUUACUGGGCGGAAAGCGCGCGUAGGUGGUUUGUUAAGUUGGAUGUGAAAGCCCCGGGCUCAACCUGGGAACUGCAUCCAAAACUGGCAAGCUAGAGUACGGUAGAGGGUGGUGGAAUUUCCUGUGUAGCGGUGAAAUGCGUAGAUAUAGGAAGGAACACCAGUGGCGAAGGCGACCACCUGGACUGAUACUGACACUGAGGUGCGAAAGCGUGGGGAGCAAACAGG